UACCAGCACCCCGAGUGAUCGGGACGAUUAUUGGGCCUAAAGCAUCCGUAGCCGGUUUUACAAGUCCUCCGUUAAAUCCAGCUGCUUAACAGAUGGGCUGCGGAGGAUACUAUAAGACUAGGAGGCAGGAGAGGCAAGCGGUACUCAGUGGGUAGGGGUAAAAUCCGUUGAUCCAUUGAAGACCACCAGUGGCGAAGGCGGCUUGCCAGAAUGCGCUCGACGGUGAGGGAUGAAAGCUGGGGGAGCAAACCGG
rnacentral:rRNA from 1 species